AUGUGGGGCCCAGUUCCUCCUCCCCUGACUCUGGGCUGGCCAGGAUGACUCGCUUGUAACCAACGGAAUACGGUGGAAGGGACACUGCCCGAGUCAGGCCAGGCCGGAGGCUAUGCAGAUCCGCCUGGCUCUCAUGGGACACCAGCUCUCUGGACACUCUAUCCCGGGAACCCCCCUCUCCAGAUGCUGCCGCCGUGCCGUGGGAAGCCCGAGCCGUGUGAGAGGCCACGUGGAGGUUCUGGUGACAGGCACAGCGGAGCCGGCCCGCUGAGUCCCUCAGCCCAGGACCCGACAUACAGGAGCAAGAGGAAGAGACCAGGAAUGGGGUCAUCUCACCCGGCGCUGUGGGCCCAGAUAGGAGGGGACCGGGCAGCGGGGCAGUCCAUCAACACCACCGUCCUCACCGUCAGAACUUGUCACCACACCUGCUGAGAGCCAGGCACCCCAUCUGCUCAGCCACGUUGUCUCCUCUGAGUCACCAGUGACCACGGGGCCAUCUGAGUCCACAGCAAGAGGCACAGGAGGAUCUUUGGAGUUUGGGGAAGGACAUUGGCAUUUUGCCCGAGAACACCUGCACAGGAUGCAUUCCCAGGCCCACACUCAGAGAAAACUGUGGGUGCCUUCCUAGCCUUGAGGCAGCUCACCCCAAAGGCCGUCUGAGAAGGAUGUUAGCCCACUGGCCCCCUUUCUGCGUGUUUAAGGAGAGUCAGCUGGGGCCUGCGUUUCUCCCGGCUGGCUGAGUGCUGUGAGUCGGUGCACCCUUACUGAACGCGCUGUGUCCUGACCACCCGCCUGGCUGCCCCAAUGGCCUCAGAGGUCAUGCAGGUGCCGAGGGUAGGGCACGCAGGGCGAGCUCUUGUGCAACCGGGUGCAAAGCCAUGGGUAGGAUGGAGAAAGGACGCUGGCAGUGUGCGCGGAGCAAAGGGGAUCAGAUGAUCUGACAGGGAAACCCGUUUAUGCAGGAAAUUCUCUCACCAAGCACUGAGGACAGAAACUCAAGGAGCCUCCUUCAUGCUAAUAUGCAGGCUUUGUGGAUUUCAGAAAUAAUUUAUGCUACAUUAUCUCGGCCACGGAUUCUAGAAAACAACUGAUGACAUUAGAAAAGUGGAAGCCUGUCUAAUGUGAUGAGGUGUUAAUGCAAAGACCGAAACCUUUCAUUCCAAGUUAAAAGCACAGAAGUGUGCCCUCAUUCGCCCAUAGUCCGAGGCAGGGAGCAGUCCUUUUCUUUGAGCGUGUGCCCUCUCGUAGGUGUUUCACUUCUCUUUGUCGCAUAACCACGUCCAAAAGUCACCUGUGAGAUUUCACGCGUCUGUGUAUUCAAAGGGCAGCGAGAAGGCGGAGGCAUCUCUGAAACGACCUGAGCACAGGAAACUUUUCUGCAUCUUGAGAUUCAUCGCUUAAAUAUUUCAGCUGCCUGGUCCACAUUUACUCGGAAGGCAAUGUGGGGGGACCCGCUUUUAUCAAAUCUUCCCCAAGCAUUCCAAGUAUUUUCCACAGGAACCGUCUUCCACUCAUGUCUCUCUGGCUGAGAGUAUGUUUCGUUGAAUCACACACUGACGGUCACAGACACGCACGAAGAGGAUUGGGAACUGACACUCGCUGCUUUGGGAGGCGCGUGUGGGUGGGUCAGCCCCUUUCAUGGAGGGAGGGCAGCGUCCUCCGAACCUUCCAGUCAGAACAGCCGCCGACUGAGUUUCCCAGCAACUCCUCCCUCCUGCCCUUCCAGGAGAAGAAUGGAGAUGCCCAACCAUAGAAAAUCCAAAUCCGUUUCCCCGUCUGCAAGAGGUGGCUGAGGACACGGUGCUCACCUCUCAGGAUUGUCCUGAUCACGAGGCAGCCGACACAUAUCAAGUCUCCAGGGUCCAGCCCGGCACACCACAGAACGUGCUCCUUAUAAGCUAGCGGGGGUCACAGUCAAACGCAUACUCUGAAACUAAAUACCUGCCUUCCAGAUUUUCCAAUUGCUCAGUUUGUUCCACUGAACUUUCUCCUUGCGUGCACUUGUGUGUGCAUGUGUGUGUGCACACUUGGCUGUCCACUGCACCUCCCAUCUCUCUACAUGCCCUCGAAUUGCAGUCAUGGGUCUUGCUACACACACAGACUGCAGGAUAAGCUAAGCAGAAAUCCCAAACCAGCAGCCCUGAGGACAAGUCUGGCCCACAGAUGUGUUCUGUU
ensembl:lncRNA